rnacentral:tRNA from 2 species
GCCGAAGUGGCGGAACGGCAGACGCGCUGCGUUCAGGUCGCAGUGCCCGCAAGGGCGUGUGGGUUCAAAUCCCUCCUUCGGCACCA